rnacentral:rRNA from 1 species
UACCAGCACCCCGAGUGGUCGGGACGAUUAUUGGGCCUAAAGCAUCCGUAGCCGGUACUGCAAGUCUUCCGUUAAAUCCACCUGCUCAACAGUUGGGCUGCGGAGGAUACUACAGCGCUAGGAGGCGGGAGAGGCAAGCGGUACUCAGUGGGUAGGGGUAAAAUCCAUUGAUCCAUUGAAGACCACCAGUGGCGAAGGCGGCUUGCCAGAACGCGCUCGACGGUGAGGGAUGAAAGCUGGGGGAGCAAACAGG